rnacentral:rRNA from 1 species
CUUGUACACACCGCCCGUCACACCAUGGGAGCGGGUUCUGCCAGAAGUAGUUAGCCUAACCGCAAGGAGGGCGAUUCCCACGGCAGGGUUCGUGACUGGGGUG